rnacentral:lncRNA from 1 species
ACACAAAGAAUGGACUCCAGUGAAAACGUAAUAGCUAAGAUGGAAAGACCAUUUUAACAAUCUUUAAUUUGGAACAUGUCUCGUUUUACCAGACUACGCCCCUAACUAAAACCAAAUGUUUUUCAACUGCUGGAUUUCUUUGCAUGCUUCUCACAAAAAGACCUGAUGGUUUCCACCCUGUAUGGUCUUCAGAAAAGAGACCAUUGAACAAUCAAAUGCAGUGGAAAUCCGAUGUGUCGCACGUCCGCCACUCACAUUGUUGUUGGACAGAAACUCGAGUGAUUCACUUUUCCGAUCGGCCUCGGGAGGCGUUACUCGCAGCACUAUAUGAGCAAGUGCAGUCUGAGCGCAGAGGGACAAUCACGCCAUCCUCUCGAACGGAUAAACCACAAGACUUUGACACUUUCUCCAGGCAUCGGAGUUACCAAAGUCUACAUUGAACAGUCCAGGAGCACCAAAACAUACCGCAAGGAUUGUCACUGCUGUUGUGUCCCAAAAGUGUCGAUAAGGAAGACGUGCCA